rfam:Tetranychus urticae London genomic scaffold, scaffold_2
UUCGCUACAAGAUUGAUACAGCCAUAGCUGUGGCAAUGUAAUACAAUAAUUAUUGCCACAGCUAUGACUGUACCAUUUUCCAGAAGCGGA